GUGCUCACUUUGGUAGCAGACAUACUAAAAUUGGAACGAUACAGAGAAGAUUAGCAUGGCCGUUGCGCAAGGAUGACAUGCAAAUUGGUGAAGCAUUCCAUAUUUUU
rnacentral:snRNA from 1 species